CGCAUAUUGCACCUUAGAGUAUUCUUUAAGGUAUACCUGUUUGAGCGUCGUUUAAAACUUAAAGCUUUGCUUUUUGUUAGAUUUUGGUUGAUUCUCAUCAUACCAAUUUCUUAAACAGAGUGGCGUUAUUUUGUUAGCCGAGACACAGUGAAAAUGUGUGCCAAGUUGACAAGAUGUACUUGCCAGUUAGAACAUCUCCAUGUUCGACCUCAAAUCAAGUAAGACUACCCGCUGAACUUAA
rnacentral:misc_RNA from 1 species